GAAUGAAGUAAGAUCCACUAAAGCAAUAAACUGUCUGCACUUAAUGUUCUACCUACAAUUAAAGUUUUUAUUUCCUAACUCUAUAGUAUAGGGAUAGAUACAGCAAUAUAUUCCUAUAAUCUAUCAGCUGUAAGCUUUGUACCCUCUAACUGUCUUCUGUAGGUAUUUGCCCAGGUGUAUGUGAGUCAGUUCUGUUUUUUUAAUGGAAUUUUUAUUUUCAGUGCCAUCACCCAUCUUGUGAGCUGUUGAAGGAGAACAACCACAGGCUGCAGAGGGAAAAUUAUUCUCUCAAGGCAAAAAUAGCAACAAUGAAAUGUAAUGCUAUUGUUGAAAACUUUGGGGUUUUUUACGCAAGGGUUUUUCUGUUUUACAUGUUAGCUAAAAGGCUAUUAUGAAUCCUUUGCUCAGUGCUGCCAGACGUUUGGCAGAAGAUGGAGGAGUUUCUCUGCUCAGCACCAAGACCAACGACAACACCAAUACCAACACCAACACCAAGACCAUGACCAAGACCAGAACCAACACUAUCACCAGCACCAACAGCAGUUCCAGCACCAGCAACAGAAGACCCAUCACCAGCUCCAGAUCCAUCAUCAGCAUCAGCAACAGAGGCCCUGGGCCACUCUGUCAUUCCAAAAGGACUUGUGGAGCGCUGCUCCUUCCAAAGCCCCCAGAAGUUCAUAAAUGAUGUACUACAUGUAUGUAUACCAGGGAAUAUGUGGCAGGCCAUUCAGUGACUGGCCAGUCAUCCAGCAGCUGCACAGAAGGAAAACCUGGCCUAGCCAAACAGGACCUUGUUGAAAUAACAAAUGCUGCAAAGUUGAAUCUCUCCUACGUAACUGAUAUGAAAAUAAAAGCAUUUAUACGACAAAAGCUGAACAAUGCUGCCAAAUUUCAGAAACUAUAAAUUAUCAACUGUUUAAAGAAAGUUAAACUUUUGUUCUAUUUU